rnacentral:rRNA from 1 species
CAGUAGCCACGGGAAUACAGAGGGUGCAAGCGUUAAUCGGAAUUACUGGGCGUAAAGCGCGCGUAGGUGGUUUGUUAAGUUGGAUGUGAAAGCCCCGGGCUCAACCUGGGAACUGCAUCCAAAACUGGCAAGCUAGAGUACGGUAGAGGGUGGUGGAAUUUCCUGUGUAGCGGUGAAAUGCGUAGAUAUAGGAAGGAACACCAGUGGCGAAGGCGACCACCUGGACUGAUACUGACACUGAGGUGCGAAAGCGUGGGGAGCAAACAGGAUUAGAUACCCCCAGUAGUCCCUGUCUCUUAUA